AUGGAGGGUAGAGAGAGGGGUUAGGGAGGGUGGAGUGAGGGGUUAGGGAGGGUAAAGAGUGGGGUUAGGGAGGGUAAAGAGUGGGGUUAGGGAGGGCAGAGAGAGGGGUCAGGGAGGGCGGAGUGAGAGGUUUUGGAGGGUAAAGAGAGGGGUUGGGGAGGGUAAAGAGGGGUUGGGGAGGGUAAAGAGAGGGGUUGGGGAGGGUGAAGCGAGGGGUUGGGGAGGGUAAAGAGGUGUUUGGGAGGGUAAAGAGAUGGGUUAGGGAGGGUGGAGUGAGGGGUUAGGGACGGGAAAGGGAGGGUAAAGGGAGGGGUUAGGGAGGGUGGAGAGAGGUUAGGAAUUGUAAAGAGUGGGGUUAGGGAGGGUAAAGAGAUGGGUUAGGGAGGGUGGAGUGAGGGGUGAGGGAGGGUAAAGAGAGGGGUUAGGGAGGGUGGAGAGAGAGGUUAGCCUCUUGCUCCUACCUGACACGCAGGCGUCCCAUCUAGACAUCUGGAAAUGCAAAUGCGCUACGCUAAAUGCUAAUAGUAUUAGUUAAAACUCAAACGUUCAUUAAAAUACACAUGCAGGGUGUUGCAUUAAAGCUACACUCGUUGUGAAUCUAGGCAACAAGUCAGAUUUUUAAAAUGCUUUUCGGCGAAAGCAUGAAAAGCUAUUAUCUGAUAGCAUGUAACACCCCAAAAGACCCGCAGGGGACGUAAACAAAAUAAUUAGAAUAGUCGUCGCUACACAAACUGCACAAAUAAAAUAUAAAACAUUCAUUACCUUUGACCAUCUUCUUUGUUGGCACUCCUAGAUGUCCCAUAAUCACUAUUGGGUCUUUUUUUUAGAUUAAAUCGGUCCAUAUUUAGCCUAGAUAUCGAUCUAUGAAGACUGUGUGAUAAACGGGAAAAAAAUAGCGUCUUAUAACGUAACGUCAUUUUUUUAAAUUAAAAAAGUUGACGAUAAACUUUCACAAAACACUUCGAAAUACUUUUGUAAUGCAACUUUAGGUAUUAGUACACGUUAAUAAGCGACCAAAUUGAUCACGAGGCGAUGUAUAUUCUUUAGCUGUCUGUCUGGAAAUAAUGUCCAGGUAAAUCUCAACCAAAAUAUCCGGUCGGAGACCUGAAGAAAUGGCUUGUCUCUUCUUCGUUUGACCAAGAAACAAAGCCUUGGCAAAUGACAAGACUGUUGACAUCGUGUGGAAGCUGUAGGUAUUGCAACCUCAGCCCCAUUUAUUGUGGUUCGCCUUUAUCAAUGGGUUGAAGUGGCGGAUGGAUAUAUAUUUCCAUUUUCAGUGAUCAGAUUUUCCUGCGCUUUUCGAUGAAACGCACGUUCUGUUAUAGUCACAGCCGUGAUUUAACCAGUUUUAUAAACGUCUGAGUGUUUUCUAUCCACACAUACUAAUCAUAUGCAUAUACUAUAUUCCUGGCAUGAGCAGCAGGGCGCUGAAAUAUUGCGCGAUUUUUAACAGACUGUUCGACAAAGUAGGGGGUAGGAGUAACAGGUUAGGGAGGGUAAAGAGUGGGGUUAGGGAGGGUAAAGAGUGGGGUUAGGGAGGGUAAAGAGUGGGGUUAGGGAGGGUAAAGAGUGGGGUUAGGGAGGGUAGAGAGAGGGGUUAGGGAGGGUAGAGAGAGGGGUUAGGGAGGGUAGAGAGAGGGGUUAGGAGGGUAGAGAGAGGGGUUAGGGAGGGUAGAGAGAGGGGUUAGGGAGGGUAAGAGGGGUUAGGGUGGGUAAAGAGAGGGGUUAGGGAGGGUAAAGAGAUGGAUUAGGGAGAGUGGAGUGUGGGGUUAGGGAGGGUAAAGUGUGGGGUUAGGGAGGGUAAAGAGUAGGGUUAGGGAGGGUAAAGGGAGGGUAAAGAGAGGGGUUACGGAGGGUGGAGAGAGGUUAGGAAGGGUAAAGAGUGGGGUUAGGGAGGGUAAGAGAGGGGUUAGGGGAGGGUAAGAGAGGGGUUAGGGAGGGUAAAGAGAGGGGUUAGGGAGGGUAAAGAGAGGGGUUAGGGAGGGUAAAGAGAGGGGUUAGGGAGGGUCAGAGAGGGGUUAGGGAGGGUAAAGAGAGGGGUUAGGCAGGGCGGAGAGAGGGGUUAGGCAGGGGUAAGAGAGGGGUUUGGGAGGGUAAAGAGAGGGGUUUGGGAGGGUAAAGAGAGGGGUUUGGGAGGGUAAAGAGAGGGGUUUGGGAGGUUAAAGAGAGGGGUUAGGGAGGGUAGAGAGAGUGGUUAGGGAGGGUAGAGAGAGGGGUCAGGGAGGGUAGAGAGAGGUCAGGGAGGGUAGAGAGAGGUCAGGGAGGGUAGAGAGAGGGGUCAGGAAAUGUAGAGAGAGGGGUCAGGGGGGGUAGAGAGAGGGGUUAGGGGGUAGAGAGAGGGGUUAGGGGGUAGAGAGAGGGGUUAGGGGGGGUAGAGAGAGGGGUUAGGGGGUAGAGAGAGGGGUUAGGGCGGGUAGAGAGGGGAGUUAGGGUUGGUGUAGUGAGAGGGGUUACGGUUGGUGUAGAGAGAGGUCAGGGUUGGUAGAGAGAGGGGUUAGGCAGGGUGAAGAGAGGGGUUAGGGAGGGCAAAGAAAUGUGUUAGGAAGGUAAAGAGAGGGGUUAGGGGAGUAUAAAGAGAGGGGUUCAGGGAGUAUAAAGAGAGGGGUUAGGGAGUGUAAAGAGAGGGGUUAGGGAGGGUAACGAGAGGGGUUAGGGAGGGUAGAGAGAGGGGUUAGGGUGGGAAGAGAGGGGAUAGGGAGCAGAGGGGUUAGGUAGGGGAGAGAGAGGGGGGUUAGGGAGGGGGGAGAGAGAGGGGUUAGGGAGGGUGGAGAGAAGUUAGGGAGGGUAAAGAGGGCUUAGGGAGUGUAAAGAGAGGGGUUAGGGAGUGUAAAGAGAGGGGUUAGGGAGUGUAAAGAGAGGGGUUAGGGAGUGUAAAGAGAGGGGUUAGGGAGUGUAAAGAGAGGGGUUAGGGAGUGUAAAGAGAGGGGUUAGGGAGUGUAAAGAGAGGGGUUAGGGAGUAUAAAGAGAGGGGUUAGGGAGUGUAAAGAGAGGGGUUAGGGAGUGUAAAGAGAGGGGUUAGGGAGGGUAAAGAGAGGGGUUAGGGAGGGUAGAGAGAGGGGUUAGGAAGGGAAGAG